rnacentral:rRNA from 1 species
AUGCAACGCGAAGAACCUUACCUGGUCUUGACAUCCCGGAGACCCUUAGGAAACUAGGGGGUGGCUUCCAUCUGGAAGAAUCUGGAGACAGGUGCUGCAUGGCUGUCGUCAGCUCGUGUCGUGAGAUGUUGGGUUAAGUCCCGCAACGAGCGCAACCCUUGCCUUUAGUUGCCAGCAGUUCGGCUGGGCACUCUAAAGGGACUGCCGGGUGUUAAACCGGAGGAAGGUGGGGAUGACGUCAAGUCCUCAUGGCCUUUAUGACCAGGGCUACACACGUACUACAAUGGCCGAUACAAAGGGCAGCGACACUGCGAGGUGAAGCCAAUCCCGUAAAAUCGGUCUCAGUCCGGAUUGGAGUCUGCAACUCGACUCCAUGAAGUUGGAAUCGCUAGUAAUCGUGGAUCAGCAUGCCACGGUGAAUACGUUCCCGGGCCUU